rfam:Faecalibacterium sp. CAG:82-related_59_9 Ley3_66761_scaffold_9695, whole genome shotgun sequence.
GCGGAAGUGGCGGAACGGCAGUCGCGCUGGUUUUAGGCACCAGUUCUUCGUGAGUGAGGGUUCAAGUCCCUUCUUCCGCA